CGCGCAUGCGCACGGGCCGCUCCGUCAGAGCCGCGCUGGCGCCGCGCAGGGCGGUGUGCGCGGUAUGCAGCGGGACGUGGGCAGCCUGCCGCUGAGCCCCGCGCUGCGCGCCCGCCUGCUGGCAGCCGGCUUCCAAACAGCGCAGGAGCUGCUGGAGACCGGUCCGUGCGGGCUGAGCAAAGAAAUUGGGGUCUCCAAAGAAGAGGCACUGGAAGCAUUACAGGUUGUCAGGCAGGAAUGUACUGGCGAUGCAGCAAAGACGGCUGGGGGGUCAGACAGCACCAGGAAGUGCACAGCUCUGGAACUUCUGGAAGAAGAGCAAGCACAGGGCUUCAUCAUCACCUUUUGUUCAGCGCUGGACAACAUUCUGGGAGGUGGUGUGCAACUGACAAAAAUUACUGAGAUCUGUGGAGCACCUGGUGUUGGGAAAACACAACUAUGUAUGCAGCUGGCAGUGGAUGUCCAGAUCCCGGAAUGCUUUGGGGGUGUAGCUGGGGAAGCAGUGUUCAUUGAUACUGAAGGCAGUUUUAUGGUAGACAGAGCAGCAGAUAUUGCAGCUGCCUGCGUGCGGCAUUGCCAGCUUAUUGCUGAAGCUCAUCAAGAAGAAGAUCAUCUUAAAGCUUUGGAGACUUUUUCUCUGGAAAGUAUCCUUUCUCACAUAUAUUACUUCCGUUGCCGUGACUACAUAGAGCUUCUAGCACAGGUCUAUCUCCUCCCAGACUUUCUUUCAGAGCACUCAAAGGUCCGACUGGUGGUAAUUGAUGGAAUUGCCUUUCCCUUUCGCCAUGAUUUUGAGGACCUCUCGCUUCGAACACGGCUUUUGAAUGGUCUGGCACAGCAGCUGAUCAUCAUAGCAAAUGAUCACAAAGCAGCGGUUGUUCUGACAAACCAAAUGACAACCAGGUUUGGACAAAACCAGUCCAUGUUGGUACCUGCAUUAGGAGAAAGCUGGGGACAUGCUGCUACCGUGCGUUUAAUCUUUCACUGGGACAACACUCAGAGGUUGGCAACAUUGUACAAAUCACCGAGUCAGAAGGAGUCAACCAUACCAUAUAACAUUACAGUUAGUAUUUCUCUUGGGAUGGAGAUACAGAGAUGGGAACGAAGUGUUGGAUGUAAAGAAAUUGUCAGACGCUGGCAGACCUGAGAAUGCUGUUCGCUUUCUUCGUGCUGCCUUUCAGCUUCUUCCUGAAGGUAGCCAGGAACACCAGGAUGUUUCCAGAUUAACCAUCAGAUUUACAGGCAACCUGUGCCCAUUUCUGCUUGUCCCAGUGCUGCACAGUUUAUCUGCCCUUCAUGUCAACUCUUGGCCUAAGUACAAUUACAGAGGAGAGUCUUGCACUUGGAGCCUUCCUUCAGGAUGCCAAGCUGCUUUCUCCCGUCACAUUGUUUGUUUCCCCAGUGGCUGGGGAAACUGCAUCUGUUCCGAUUUGUCAUUUUUAGGGCAAGGCUGACCAGAAUCAUUCACGGCAUUCCAGAGACCUCCAGAUCUCUGCCUGUUCAUUGCCUGACACAACACAGGUUGUACUUCUGUCUUUCACAGCUCUGUCCUACUGGUGACCCUAUGGCCAGGCCAUAUAUACAGAAGUAUGUAUUUUUUCUUCUGUUGUUACUGUAUGAUGAGAUUCCAGCUGGAGUCCUCAUUCAGCCCUAGGGAAAUCCUGUGAUAGUUUACUUUUGUUGAGUGCUUAAAUACAUAUUGAGAAUAUAUAUUGUUUAAGCUGAUUAUAGGUUAAAAAACAAGCACUCCGUUCUUGUGUCUUCAAAUGACAGAUACAUAGGUACAUGCCAUAACUGUUUGCUCUGUGUCCUCAUGGAAACACGUUGCCAUAGCAUUUCCUGCAGAUUUUAAUGCUGCCCUAAAAUGAGGUCCUCAAGAUAUUGAGCAGAAUUCAUGGGUUUUUUUUCCAGCUCUAAAUGCUCCCACUAUUUUUAGUUACUUAUUUAUUUGUUUACCAGUUCUGUAAAGACUGGACAGGAAAAUGGGACCACAUCCCAAGGUUGUUCAGAUCAUGUGAUGCAGCUGUGCAGCCCUGUCUGUGCAGCUGCCAAAUAUUGGAUUCUCUUAGUUUAAUUGCCAUUUCAGCUUUAUGCAAAUUAUAGAACAGCUAUGCUGUCUUCAUCCACAUGAAUGUACACAAUCUUGAUGUAUACUAGAGAGCGUAUCUUAACCAAAGAUUACUUACAACUUCAGACUAGCCCUGUGUUUUUUCCUUUAAUCCUGCUGAGCUGCUUCAGAUGUUUCUAUGAGUAAAAAACGCAUUAUCAAUGUUUCUGUCAUGAAAAGCAGGUCUGAUAAUAAUUGUUUGCUGUUACCAUUUCUCAUUCUCAUCUCAGUAGUUAAACUGGAAGAUGUAAAUAUGUGUUCAGUGCUUCCAAGUAUGAUGCAGGACAUCUGUGUAUAAACAGCAGACAAUUUAAAAAAACAACAACAUCUAAGAUGCAUAGGAUUAUAGCUGCCAUUAAAUUCAGUGCAAAUCAGAUAGUUUGGUACUUCUGACAUCUGGUUGACCAGUGCUUGUACACUGGUGGAGAAGUAUGGGACUGAGUGCCUGAAGCUCCAGUUCUUUUCCAGCUGUUUCUUUUCCAGCACAUUGGCAGAUCAGCCACCAGUCUGAGCAAGCCUGGAAGCUAUGGAACACCUAUCAAAUAAUUCUUUCAUAGGCUGAUGAGGAUUCAUUCUUAAGCGCAGAGUAUAGAAAUGUGAAUUGAUUUAAGCACAAAGGAGUAAAUGGCUCAUCUGAUUCAUCUAAAUUUCCCAGCCUCAGGGCUUCCGAGAUGUGCAGCCUCCACCUGUCACCCAAAAUGCAGAAGGUACUGAAAUGAACCCUCGCAAACGGCCACGGAGAGAAGAGGAAAAGCAACAG